GCAGAGCAGAACCUGACCCACAGUCUGUCUCUCAGUGCGUCAGGGGUCCUGAAGUGGGGGGAUGACAGAACAAACACAAGCUGUUACCUUGCCAUUUUUGCUAAUGUUUUAAAAUCAGGCAGCUUGUGAGGAUGACAGAUGCAGAAGUCAGGCAGUUCUUAGUUCUGUAGUCCUCACGUGAUGUCUUCUCUUAGAGCAAUAGAAGUGUUACCUAUGGCAUGGAUAAGUGCUUAGGUUAGCUGGUAUAAGAACAGAGUUACCAACACGAGUUGUCUUUCUGAGUUGUUUAGCUAUUGCACUUAGUACUGGAGAAAGAAAAAUCCAUUGUUAUUUCUGCUGUUUAUUAUAUUACCUUUGCUUUUAUAAACCUUUUUAAUGGAGAGUGGGCUCUUCAAGCUGUGGUAAGCCUGCUGCUUUGUCUCCUGGGUCUUGGACAUGAACAGCACUCAGGUUUUUAAUUUAUAUGUUUGUUUUUUUGUGUAUUUGUCAUUAUAGCAACAGAAGACUGUACUCACCUUAACUCGUUUUCCGUCAUCCUCAUACUGCUUGACACAACUCUGCAGGUUUGAAAGGGACCAACUUGCAGAAAAAAAAUGGAAGUUCUGUCCUGAGAACAAGCAUGAGAAGGUUCACCUGAAAGGACUGUUGUUGUGCAUCCCAGGACAGAUAUGGAUGCA
rnacentral:lncRNA from 14 species